rnacentral:rRNA from 1 species
GGCGAACGCUGGCGGCGUGCUUAACACAUGCAAGUCGAACGGAAAGGCCCUGCUUUUGUGGGGUGCUCGAGUGGCGAACGGGUGAGUAACACGUGAGUAACCUGCCCUUGACUUUGGGAUAACUUCAGGAAACUGGGGCUAAUACCGGAUAGGAGCUCCUGCUGCAUGGUGGGGGUUGGAAAGUUUCGGCGGUUGGGGAUGGACUCGCGGCUUAUCAGCUUGUUGGUGGGGUAGUGGCUUACCAAGGCUUUGACGGGUAGCCGGCCUGAGAGGGUGACCGGCCACAUUGGGACUGAGAUACGGCCCAGACUCCUACGGGAGGCAGCAGUGGGGAAUAUUGCACAAUGGGCGGAAGCCUGAUGCAGCAACGCCGCGUGCGGGAUGACGGCCUUCGGGUUGUAAACCGCUUUCGCCUGUGACGAAGCGUGAGUGACGGUAAUGGGUAAAGAAGCACCGGCUAACUACGUGCCAGCAGCCGCGGUGAUACGUAGGGUGCGAGCGUUGUCCGGAUUUAUUGGGCGUAAAGGGCUCGUAGGUGGUUGAUCGCGUCGGAAGUGUAAUCUUGGGGCUUAACCCUGAGCGUGCUUUCGAUACGGGUUGACUUGAGGAAGGUAGGGGAGAAUGGAAUUCCUGGUGGAGCGGUGGAAUGCGCAGAUAUCAGGAGGAACACCAGUGGCGAAGGCGGUUCUCUGGGCCUUUCCUGACGCUGAGGAGCGAAAGCGUGGGGAGCGAACAGGCUUAGAUACCCUGGUAGUCCACGCUGUAAACGGUGGGUACUAGGUGUGGGGUCCAUUCCACGGGUUCCGUGCCGUAGCUAACGCUUUAAGUACCCCGCCUGGGGAGUACGGCCGCAAGGCUAAAACUCAAAGGAAUUGACGGGGCCCCGCACAAGCGGCGGAGCAUGCGGAUUAAUUCGAUGCAACGCGUAGAACCUUACCUGGGUUUGACAUGGAUCGGGAGUGCUCAGAGAUGGGUGUGCCUCUUUUGGGGUCGGUUCACAGGUGGUGCAUGGCUGUCGUCAGCUCGUGUCGUGAGAUGUUGGGUUAAGUCCCGCAACGAGCGCAACCCUUGUUCACUGUUGCCAGCACGUUAUGGUGGGGACUCAGUGGAGACCGCCGGGGUCAACUCGGAGGAAGGUGGGGAUGACGUCAAGUCAUCAUGCCCCUUAUGUCCAGGGCUUCACGCAUGCUACAAUGGCUGGUACAGAGAGUGGCGAGCCUGUGAGGGUGAGCGAAUCUCGGAAAGCCGGUCUCAGUUCGGAUUGGGGUCUGCAACUCGACCUCAUGAAGUCGGAGUCGCUAGCAAUCGCAGAUCAGCAACGCUGCGGUGAAUACGUUCCCGGGGCU